CGUUCCCUGCAAGAGGAAACGCAGCGCCGAAGUACGAGAUGGAGCCUCCUCCUACACUGCCGCGGCUCUUCCUCCUGCCGGGAACGCCGUUCCUCGCCUUCGCAUCCUUGACCAAUAGUUACUAGGCUACAGUUCAUUCAUGACGUUAAGCAACGACGGUAGAUGGCUGAAGCAGAGUUCGCGGAGUAGGCGGCUCGCUGCGAAGGGAGCCGAAGCAGAGUUCGUGGAGUAGGCGGCUCGCUCCGAAGGGUACCAUCCAGCAAUGAGGCGUUAAGAUUGAUUCGUGCUAUCUGGACUGCGUUAUUUGCCACGAGCCCAUUGGCCCUCCUCUCAUACAGAGCGGAGCUCCAAAGGGCUUGAGGCAAAUAAAGCACUCCAGAUAGUGCAAAUCAAUCUUAAGGCCUCGUUGCUGGAUCUACACUUCCGAACGACCCUCCUCCUACUCGCAGUCUCCUUCGGCAGUCUCCUCCUCGCAGUCUCCUCCUCGCAGUCUUCUCCUCGCAGUCUUCUACUUGCAAUCUCCUCCUCGCAGUCUCCUGCGGAAGUCUCCCCUGGCCUAUACAUGUUAUCUUAGGCUAUGUGCGCGUGGAAUUGCAGACAAGCUUCGAUGAUUAGAUAUUUCUGUAACAUAAUUUUUAUUAUGUUCAAUUUGUUAUUGUUGAAGUAAUAGAAUUUUUCAUUGUAGGCAAAUCCUUUUUGUAUUGUGUAAACUUGUAUAAAAUCGUGUACUCGGAUUUAAAGAAGAAAAUAUAAUUCUUGUUCACAAAUUAA